rnacentral:rRNA from 1 species
AAAAAAGGUAAGCUACUAAGAGCGAAUGGUGGAUGCCUUGACUGGUAAAGGCGAUGAAGGACGUACUAGACUGCGAUAAGCUACGGGGAGCUGUCAAGAAGCUUUGAUCCGUAGAUUUCCGAAUGGGGCAACCCAAUGUAUAGAGAUAUACAUUACCUAUAUAGGAGCGAACGAGGGGAAUUGAAACAUCUUAGUACCCUCAGGAAAAGAAAUCAAUAGAGAUUGCGUCAGUAGCGGCGAGCGAAAGCGCAAGAGGGCAAACCCAGUGCUUGCACUGGGGGUUGUAGGACUGCAAUGUGCAAGAGGUAAGUUUAGCAGAACAUUCUGGAAAGUAUAACCAUAGAGGGUGAUAGUCCCGUAUGCGAAAAACAAACCUUAGUUAGCAGUAUCCUGAGUAGGGCGGGACACGAGGAAUCCUGUCUGAAUCCGGGUCGACCACGAUCCAACCCUAAAUACUAAUACCAGAUCGAUAGUGCACAAGUACCGUGAGGGAAAGGUGAAAAGAACUGAGGUGAUCAGAGUGAAAUAGAACCUGAAACCAUUUGCUUACAAUCAUUCAGAGCCCUAUGUAGCAAUACAGGGUGAUGGACUGCCUUUUGCAUAAUGAGCCUGCGAGUUGUGGUGUCUGGCAAGGUUAAGCAAACGCGAAGCCGUAGCGAAAGCGAGUCUGAAUAGGGCGCUUAGUCAGAUGCUGCAGACCCGAAACGAAGUGAUCUAUCCAUGAGCAAGUUGAAGCUAGUGUAAGAACUAGUGGAGGACUGAACCCAUAGGCGUUGAAAAGCCCCGGGAUGACUUGUGGAUAGGGGUGAAAGGCCAAUCAAACUUCGUGAUAGCUGGUUCUCUCCGAAAUAUAUUUAGGUAUAGCGUUGUGUCGUAAUAUAAGGGGGUAGAGCACUGAAUGGGCUAGGGCAUACACCAAUGUACCAAACCCUAUCAAACUCCGAAUACCUUAUAUGUAAUCACAGCAGUCAGGCGGCGAGUGAUAAAAUCCGUCGUCAAGAGGGAAACAACCCAGACUACCAGCUAAGGUCCCUAAAUCUUACUUAAGUGGAAAACGAUGUGAAGUUACUUAAACAACCAGGAGGUUGGCUUAGAAGCAGCCAUCCUUUAAAGAAAGCGUAAUAGCUCACUGGUCUAGUGAUUUUGCGCGGAAAAUAUAACGGGGCUAAAGU